rnacentral:rRNA from 1 species
AGAGUUUGAUCCUGGCUCAGGACGAACGCUGGCGGCACGCUUAACACAUGCAAGUCGAACGAGAGAAGAGAAGCUUGCUUUUCUGAUCUAGUGGCGGACGGGUGAGUAACACGUGAGCAAUCUGCCUUUCAGAGGGGGAUACCGAUUGGAAACGAUCGUUAAUACCGCAUAACAUAAUUGAACCGCAUGAUUUGAUUAUCAAAGAUUUAUCGCUGAAAGAUGAGCUCGCGUCUGAUUAGCUAGUUGGUAAGGUAACGGCUUACCAAGGCGACGAUCAGUAGCCGGACUGAGAGGUUGAUCGGCCACAUUGGGACUGAGACACGGCCCAGACUCCUACGGGAGGCAGCAGUGGGGAAUAUUGCACAAUGGAGGAAACUCUGAUGCAGCGAUGCCGCGUGAGGGAAGAAGGUUUUAGGAUUGUAAACCUCUGUCUUCAGGGACGAAAAAAGACGGUACCUGAGGAGGAAGCUCCGGCUAACUACGUGCCAGCAGCCGCGGUAAUACGUAGGGAGCGAGCGUUGUCCGGAAUUACUGGGUGUAAAGGGAGCGUAGGCGGGAUCGCAAGUCAGAUGUGAAAACUAUGGGCUUAACCCAUAAACUGCAUUUGAAACUGUGGUUCUUGAGUGAAGUAGAGGUAAGCGGAAUUCCUAGUGUAGCGGUGAAAUGCGUAGAUAUUAGGAGGAACAUCAGUGGCGAAGGCGGCUUACUGGGCUUUAACUGACGCUGAGGCUCGAAAGCGUGGGGAGCAAACAGGAUUAGAUACCCUGGUAGUCCACGCCGUAAACGAUGAUUACUAGGUGUGGGGGGACUGACCCCUUCCGUGCCGCAGCAAACGCAAUAAGUAAUCCACCUGGGGAGUACGACCGCAAGGUUGAAACUCAAAGGAAUUGACGGGGGCCCGCACAAGCAGUGGAGUAUGUGGUUUAAUUCGACGCAACGCGAAGAACCUUACCAAGUCUUGACAU